AUGAGCUGUAAAUUCAGUAGUGAUGAUACAGCCUGCAGCCCAGCCUGUGUGUCCUGGUACUUACAGAAACCUGGAGAAGCUCCUAAACUCCUGAUUUAUAAAGUAAACAGCCGUCAGUCAGGAACUCCAUCUAGAUUCAGUGGCAGCAGUGGAUCUAGCAAAGAUUUUACUCUGACCAUCAGUGGAGUCCAGACUGAAGAUGCUGGACAUUAUUAUUGCAUGAAAUCUGAACCAACAGCAACCAUGAGCUUCAUCUUCAUCAUCUUCAUCUGGAUGUUCUCCAGCUGUUUCACAGAUUCAGUUGGUGAAGUGACAGUCACUCAGACGCCUGCAGUGAAACCUGUUCAUCUCAGAGACACAGUUACUAUAUCCUGUAAAACCAGUCCUGAAGUCUAUCAGGGUUGGGGUGUUCAGCCUCUAUCCUGGUACUUACAGAAACCUGGAGAAGCUCCUAAACUCCUGAUUUAUGCAGCAGACAGCCUCGAGUCAGGAACUCCAUCUAGAUUCAGUGGCAGUGGAUCUAACAGUGAUUUCACUCUGACCAUCAGUGGAGUCCAGACUGAAGAUGCUGGACAUUAUUACUGUCAGAGUUUCCACGUCAUCAACAAUAAACAUGUGUUCACACAGUGAUAAAGAGUCGUACAAAAACCUCCGUCAGUCAGAGUCACAGUGACUGAACUGAAACUGCAGCUGCUCAAACACACACACACACACACACACACACACACACACACACACACACACACACACAC